CCUACGGGAGGCAGCAGUGGGGAAUAUUGCACAAUGGGGGAAACCCUGAUGCAGCGACGCCGCGUGAGUGAAGAAGUAAUUCGUUAUGUAAAUCUCUAUCAGCAGGGAAGAAAAUAACGGUACCUCAGUAAGAAGCCCCGGCUAACUACGUGCCAGCAGCCGCGGUAAUACGUAGGGGGCAAGCGUUAUCCUGAUUUACUGGGUGUAAAGGGCGCGUAGACGGCAGUGCAAGUCUGGAGUGGAAGGCGGGGGCGCAACCCCCGGACUGCUCUGGAAACUGUACGGCUGGAGUGCAGGAGAGGUAAGUGGAAUUCCUAGGGUAGCGGUGAAAUGCGUAGUUAUUAGGAGGAACACCAGUGGCGAAGGCGGCUUACUGGACUGUAAAUGACGUUGAGGCUCGAAAGCGUGGGGAGCAAACAGGAUUAGAUACCCUGGUAGUC
rnacentral:rRNA from 1 species